GUGCAGCAGGCGCGAAUACUUUACAAUGUGCGAAAGCACGAUAAGGGAACUCUGAGUGCCUCCUAAGGAGGCUGUUCAGGUGUCUAAAAGCACCUGGAGUAAGGGCUGGGUAAGACCGGUGCCAGCCGCCGCGGUAACACCGGCAGCCCAGGUGGUAGCCACUUUUAUUGGGUCUAAGGCGUCCGUAGCCGGUUGAGUAAGUUCCUUGGGAAAUUUGGCUGCUCAACAGUCAAGCUUCCAGGGAAUACUGCUCGACUUGGGACUGGGAGAGGUCAGAGGUACUCCAGGGGUAGGGUGAAAUCCAUUAAUCCCUGGGGGACCACCGGUAGCGAAGGCGUCUGACCAGACCAGGUCCGACGGUGAGGGACGAAGGCUAGGGUCGCGAACCGGAUUAGAUA
rnacentral:rRNA from 1 species